UGAGAAUCCAUCAUAGGAAGUGAUAGGAAGAGUCCAGGGUCCUGGAGAACGGCCUCCAGACCUUCCAAGUGACGGAGAACCUGAAGAUCAGCCACCAGUAUGGUCAGUGAUGGAUCAUGGAGACCAAUAGUCAUGUUGUAGGAGCCAUGAGAAGGAUUACACCAUAGUGAAGAAGACAUCGGGGGGGACUCCCAUCAUCCAUGAGUCAGGAGGGUGGAGCAGGACCCCCAUCACAGAGCCUCCCCCCCUGAUACAUGAGCAGAAGAUCCUAGAACUCACCCAGAAGAUGAUGGAGCUACUAACUGGAGAGGUUCCUAUAAGGUGUCAGGAUGUGGCGGUGUAUCUCUCCAUGAAGGAGUGGGAGAAUAUAGAAGGACACAAGGAUCUGUACAAGGAGGCCAUGAUGGUGGAUACCCGGCCUCUGACAUCACCAGAUGGAUCCAGGAGGAGAAAUCCCCCCGAGAGAUGUCCCCGUCCUCUGUAUUCCCAGGACU